GGCGGAUGUAGCCAAGUGGAUCAAGGCAGUGGAUUUGAAUCGC
rnacentral:tRNA from 1 species